rnacentral:lncRNA from 1 species
GAAAAACUUGGGAAGAAAGAUACUUCAUAUUAAACGACAAAUUCUAUGGUUUUUAAGAUGUUCAAAACUCCUUGGAUGCCAAGCCACUGAAAAAUAUUCUAUAAAUACUACUAAACCAAUGUUAGUUUUACAAAUCUUUCAAUUGCCUGCAAUUCUCUUGUUUUCAAUUUGCUUCUCAAUGACAAGCCAACUCUACUAUUUCUUCCCUACAGACUUACUUCCACCAUCUCAAUGUCUAAUCAAGAAAGACAUUGCUUCACCACCACUAGGAUCCAUCAAAGUCGAACAGCCACCCAAAGAGAAUACCAAAACACGUAGAUUAGUGGGUGGUAAUACCAGCAAGAUGAGCCAUGUUUAUGAGUCUUCUUUCACAAGUCCAAGAAAGUGGGAUGGACUUCCUCAACUUUUCAAUGUUUCGUCGUCUUCGGGCUCCAUCUCUUUUGAAGGAGAAGAGGUUCCAAGUACAUACUAAAAAGUUGCUUUUGUAGUAGAAUUGUCCAAGAGUCAAAUAUGUGUAAUAUUGAAGGGACUUCCUCAACUUUUCACUGUUUCGUAGUCUUUGUGCUCCAACUCUUUUGAAGGAGAAGAGGUUCCAGGUACAUACUAAAAAGUUGCUUUUGUAGUAGAAUUGUCCAAGAGUCAAAUGUGUGUAAUAUUGAAGCUAGUUUUUAAGGAUUGUAAUUUGUAAAUAUCUUCAAGCAGAAAUUUGUAUUGCCAAUAUAAUACUUGCUUUUUAUAUAACACUUUUCGUCCAU